UACGAAGGGGGCUAGCGUUGCUCGGAAUCACUGGGCGUAAAGCGCACGUAGGCGGAUUGUUAAGUCAGGGGUGAAAUCCUGGAGCUCAACUCCAGAACUGCCUUUGAUACUGGCGAUCUCGAGUCUGGGAGAGGUGAGUGGAACUGCGAGUGUAGAGGUGAAAUUCGUAGAUAUUCGCAAGAACACCAGUGGCGAAGGCGGCUCACUGGCCCGGGUACUGACGCUGAGGUGCGAAAGCGUGGGGAGCGAACAGG
rnacentral:rRNA from 1 species